rnacentral:lncRNA from 1 species
CAGAGCAGACAAUAGGCCCCUAAAGUGUUCCCCCUAAGUUGCUUUGAUGUUGUCCUAGUGUCUUGAUACCAGGAGGCCAGGGAUUGCAGGAAAAGGGUCUUUUUUGUCUUCAUUCACUUUCCCCCCUCAGUUUCUGAAAUGAUUCUCCAGAAUUUCUCCUCAUAAAAAAGGACUGAAUGUGGGACUAGCUGGUAUCUCUCCACUCUGAUCUAAAAAUUCCCUUCCGUUUGGGAGGCAGAGAUCAUUCCUGGAAAGUUCCUCUGUAUCCCAAUGUAGAAGAGAGAGCAAAUUGGACAUCUUGAAAGGUGAGGGUCACGUUUGAGAAAGGAGUUCCUGGACUCCUCAAACUCCUCACCUCCAGGAUGAGCACUGCCGUAUCGUGACCCUUGGGGUUUUGGUGAGUAACUGAUGGAUGAUGGCACUAGAGAGCAUGCCUGGCUUAGAAGGAUGAUCUUCGGGAAAAAUUUCAACUUUUAUUCAACAAAUAUUUUUUGAGCAAAUACCAUGUACUGUAGUAAGUGCUAGGAAUACAGGGAUGAACAAAUCAGUCUUGGUCCCUGCCUUCAAGGAGCCUAGUGAGAGAGAUGAAUGUUACACAAAUGAUCACGUCAUUACAUGUAUAAUUACAAACAUGGAAAAUAUUGUGAAGGGAAAACACAGGAUGCUAUGAAAAGAGUAUAAUGGAGAAUUUCAUGUAGAUGGGUGGCGUUCGGGUAUCCUUCCUCUCUGAAGAAGCAACACCAAAGCUGAGAUUUCAUUCAUUCAGCAAAACGUGCAAACUUAAUAUGGAAGGGUUGGGGUGAGAGAGGGAGGUGUUAAGAGUGACUCCUAAGUUAUUGGCGUGAGCAGCUGGGUGGAUGAAGGUGCCAUUUACUAAAAUGUGGAAGACUGAAGGAAAAAUACUUUCAGGAGGGAGGCUCUGUAGAGAUGAAGAAUUCAUGUUUGAUCUUGUUAAGUUUGAGACAUCUAGAGAGAUGUCCACUUGGCAGUUGUGUAUACAGGUCUGCAGAGCAAAAGCUGAGUGGGAGAUGUAAAUUCGGGAGUUGUUGGCGUGGAGAGAACUUAUAGAAUGAGAAGAGAAGAAGACCCAGGGUAGAGUCCUGUGGAAUUCUAAAUUGUAAAGAUUAGAUAGAGAAGGGGCCAGCAAAGGAGGCAGAAAGAGUGACUGGAGAGAUAGGAGGAAAACGUGGUGUUAUAGAAACAAAGAGAGCGUUUCAAGAAGGAAGUGAUUACCUGGCAAAAUCUAAGAGUAAGAUGGGGUUAGAAAAAUGGCCAGGGAUGACCUUAGCAAAAAUAGCAGUUUCUGUGAUCUGUGGGUGGAAGUUGGGUUAAAAUGGUUUAAGGGUGGAUGGCAAGUAAGGGAGUGAAGACUGUGUCUUGUUAACUCUGAGGAGAAACUUGGCCCUGAAGGGGAAUAGAAUGCUCGAGCUGGGUUUUGUUUUGCUUUAUUUAUAUUUAUUUAUUUAUUUAUUUGCUGGAAGAUACUACAACAUGUCUAUAUGCUGAUUGGAAAUACCCAGGAGACUCAGGAGAUAGAAGGGAUGGCCAAAGGGGAGAGGAGAGCUCUCAGCAAGCUGGAGGGGAUGGGGCCUAGGCCACCUGUGGUGGGACUGACCUUUGAGGAAAAGUGGGCUAUUUCUUCUGUUUCAAAAAUAGAGAAGAAAGAAGGAUUAGGUACUGAUAAGAACAGGUUUGCAGAUUUGGUGGUGAGGACAUCCUGCCUGGUGAUUUCUCUUCUGUUAAUUCCUGGGCCGGACCAUGCCCUGGAAGUGAGGAGAGAGGGAGGCAGGUGGCUGUUGGAGAUGGAGAAAGUAUGAAAUGACAUUAGGCAGACAGGUGAGUGAGCUUGCUAGAGAAUAGUAGUGGUCAUAGUAAUAGUUAACCCAAGUGCUUAGCACUUGAUAUGUACUAGCUCACCUUGUCCACCAUGUUCCUACUCUGACAGGCACUACAGUGAUGAAGAGCACAGUCAGAGUGCUGGCCCAGCACCAGCUCUACCACUUACUAGGGUCUGACCCAACUUACUUGGGAAAAUUACUUAACAUUUCAGAGCCUCAUUUUCCACAUCUGUAAAAUAGGGAUAGUAGAGGUGCUUGCCUUUAGGGGUUGUGAAUGAGUUAAUAGGUAUGGAUAGUGCUUAGAAGAGUGCUGGACACAUAGUUUUAAGUAUUAUUUCAGAAAAGAGAGAAACAUUAUAUAAAUAGAUCUAAGCAGUUAGGAGAUUUAGCUGUAUUGGGGGGAAAAAUCUAUCUCUAGCUAUAGUUAACCAUUCUGUGGAAGAUCUUUUCCAAUCCUUAAAGGUAAACAGUUCAGCAUUAGCCUGCAAGCGUAGGGGCUAAAGAGCCUAAUUUUAUUCUUUGGGACUAUAUGAUAAGAUACUUGGCAGAUUUUUUUGCUCAGUUGUUUUAAGGUCAGAAAGGCUAAAGCUAGGGUGACUGAUUUCAACAACUGCCUUGAAUUAGGCAGGGAGGCAGGUGACAGUUGGAGAAGGUACAAAAUGACAUUAGGCAGAUAGGCGAGGGAGCUUGCUAGAGAAUAGUAGUGGUCAUAGUAAUAGUUAACCUGAGUGCUUAGCACUUGAUAUGUAACGGCUGGGGUUGAAAAACCUGGGUUUGAUUCUCUGUCACUAGGGGAGCCCACAUGCUUGUUACAGCCUUCUGUGUUGUCUCUCUACGUGUAAAGUAAUGGUAAGGAGGUGGCUUAGGGGAAAGAGCAGGGUCAGAGAGCACUGACUGGAAGCCUGGGAGAAGCCAUCCACGUGCCUGUGCUCCCUCCAUUCAUCUGUAAUAAUGCCUGUUGAUCAAGGUUGGACAAAGUGUGAGAAUGAGAAACUGUAUGUAGAAGUACUUUGAAAGUAAAAGUGUUUUAUGUUCAUAGUAUUAUUACUAGAAAUAAUCUUUGCUACCAGCUCAUGA